AACAAAGUUUGUUUGUUCUUGGUAUAAGCUUUUGUGUGCAUGCACACUUCUUCAGAUACUUCUCCCUGUAUCUCCCCUUCGUAUCUGAAGCAGUGUGCAUGCACACGAAAGCUUAUACCAAGAACAAAUGUAAUUAG
rnacentral:miRNA from 1 species